rnacentral:rRNA from 1 species
UACGGAGGGUGCAAGCGUUGUUCGGAAUUACUGGGCGUAAAGGGCGCGUAGGUGGUUGUGUAAGUCAGAUGUGAAAUCCCGAGGCUCAACUUCGGAACUGCAUCUGAUACUGCAUGACUUGAGUGCAGCAGAGGGAAACGGAAUUCCUGGUGUAGAGGUGAAAUUCGUAGAUAUCAGGAGGAACACCGGUGGCGAAGGCGGUUUCCUGGGCUGACACUGACACUGAGGCGCGAAAGCGUGGGUAGCAAACAGG